CCCUUAGAUGUUCUGGGCGACCCGCGCACUACAUUGGCACUGGCAACAAGAUCCUAGAUCUGAUAUUUCGGGGUAUUCUACCAACUGGUGUCGUGACUGGGAUUAACCCCUGCAAUUAUUGGUUAUGAACGAGGAAUUCCUUGUAAUCACGGUUUAUCAACCCGUGUUGAAUGCGUCCCUGCCCUUUGUACACACCGCCCGUCGCUCCUACCGAUGAAUCGUCCGGUGAAGUUCAUGGAGUCGCGGCUGCUCCAGCUGUUUUCGAAGUGAAAUGGACCUCAUGAUUUAGAGGAAGGAGAAGUCGUAACA
rnacentral:rRNA from 1 species